rfam:Takifugu rubripes genomic scaffold, scaffold_7859
GCUUACGGCCAUACCACCCUGAGAACGCCCGAUCUCGUCCGAUCUCGGAAGCUAAGCAGGGUCGGGC